rnacentral:lncRNA from 1 species
CGAGCUCGGGCCCUAUUUAUAGAUUUACAAGCGGAGGGGUAAAAUAGUAAAAACAUCUUCGGUGCAUGCGUCCUGCGUGGUGGAAGGGUACGUUGGUAAUUUCGAUAAUACGCGGGAGACCUUCCCGCGCGUUUAUUGGCUCCUCUGAUGGAAGUGUCUUCUCUGGCGAAGGCGUCUUCUCUGGUGAUAUUGACAUCUCUGGCAUGAGGGAUUCCUCUGGUAAACACGUCUUCUCUGUCGUGAAGAACUCCUCUGGUAAACACGUCUUCUCUGGCAAGGGCGUCUCCUCUGGCGGUAAUGACUUCCCUGAUGGAGUUGACUUUUCUGAUGACGAUGACUUCCCUGACGAUGGUGACUUUUCCGGCGCGGAUGAUUUCUCUGGAGGAGAGGGCUCCUCUGUCAAGAAUGACUUCUCUGGUGCGG